rnacentral:rRNA from 1 species
UACAGAGGUGGCAAGCGUUGUUCGGAAUUACUGGGCGUAAAGGGCGCGUAGGCGGCCCGUCAAGUCCCGUGUGAAAGCCCCCGGCUCAACCGGGGAACUGCACGGGAAACUAGCAGGCUUGAGUUCGGGAGAGGGAAGCGGAAUUUCGGGUGUAGCGGUGAAAUGCGCAGAUAUCCGAAGGAACACCGGUGGCGAAGGCGGCUUCCUGGACCGACACUGACGCUGAGGCGCGAAAGCUAGGGGAGCGAACAGG